rnacentral:rRNA from 1 species
UACGUAGGGUGCGAGCGUUAAUCGGAAUUACUGGGCGUAAAGCGUGCGCAGGCGGUUAUGUAAGACAGAUGUGAAAUGCCCGGGCUUAACCUGGGAACUGCAUUUGUGACUGCAUGGCUAGAGUGUGUCAGAGGGGGGUAGAAUUCCACGUGUAGCAGUGAAAUGCGUAGAUAUGUGGAGGAAUACCGAUGGCGAAGGCAGCCCCCUGGGAUAACACUGACGCUCAGGCACGAAAGCGUGGGGAGCAAACGGGG